rnacentral:rRNA from 1 species
AGAACGAACGCUGGCGGCAGGCCUCAAACAUGCAAGUCUAGGGGGCGUAGCAAUACGUCACCGGCGGACGGGUGCGUAACACGUGGGAAUGUACUUACUGGUUCGGAACAACUCAGGGAAACUUGAGCUAAUACCGAAUGUGCCCGAAAGGGGAAAGAUUUAUCGCCAGUAAAUCAGCCCGCGUCCGAUUAGCUAGUUGGCGGGGUAAAGGCCCACCAAGGCGACGAUCGGUAGCUGUUCUGAGAGGAAGAUCAGCCACACUGGGACUGAGACACGGCCCAGACUCCUACGGGAGGCAGCAGUUGGGAAUCUUGGACAAUGGGGGAAACCCUGAUCCAGCCAUGCCGCGUGAGUGAUGAAGGCCUUCGGGUUGUAAACUCUUUCGACGGGGACGAUAAUGACGGUACCCGUAGAAGAAGCUCCGGCUAACUUCGUGCCAGCAGCCGC